rnacentral:rRNA from 1 species
UACAGAGGUCUCAAGCGUUGUUCGGAUUCAUUGGGCGUAAAGGGCGCGUAGGCGGCAUGUUAAGUCGGCUGUGAAAGCCUGGGGCUCAACCCCAGAGGGUCGGCCGAUACUGGCAAGCUAGAGUACGGAAGAGGUAGCUGGAAUUCCCGGUGUAGCGGUGAAAUGCGUAGAGAUGUGGAGGAACACCAGUGGCGAAGGCGACUCUUUGGCCUGUAACUGACACUGAGGCGCGAAAGCGUGGGGAGCAAACAGG